GGGAGGAGUGCUCGGCCAGGGAGGAGUCUGUUGUCAGAGAGCCUGUGUCGUGGCUGUGGAUGAGGCUUUCUGGAGCUGGGAGCAGGUGUUUGUAUAAGCAAUGGGAAAGGCUCUGGGGAUUAUGCAGGCGUGAAGACCCCACACCAUCGGGGGGCGGAAGGCUGAGUGAUGCUGAGCUGGUGCCACUGCCUGGUGAGAAAGUGGCUCGGUUCAAAGGUACCACGGAAGGAGGGCACGGAGGAGAAGCUUCUGGUGUGGUUUGUCUGUGUGUCUGUGAAGCAUUUACCUCCAACACACUGGCAGAUGGUGCCGAUACCCUGGGGAUAAUAUAAUCAAACUAACCGUCUCUGCGCAGCCUGGAUAAAACCAUGCAAAACGAAAGGUAUCAGCUUGUUUUCAAACAUCACAAAACCAUUCUGAAGAAGCAAACCAGGUUGGAUGAGUCCAAUGACUGAUAUGUGUUCCUAUGACUUCUCCUACACCUGCUUCCUGGCGUGCCCAUCCUGGGACACUGGCGAGUCUGCUCACUGACACUGGCACGGGCCUGUCUGUACAGUCACAGACGGAUUUUGCUCCCUCCGACCUUCCUGGACUCCUGAACCCGAUCAAGAUGCAUCU
ensembl:lncRNA novel transcript